rnacentral:tRNA from 1 species
GCCGCGGUAGCUCAGUGGUAGAGCAGAUGCUUGAAGAGCAUCGUGUCGAGCGUUCGAUUCGCUCUCGCGGCA